CCCAACUGGCGGAAGGAAAGGGCGGGGGGCGGGGGACCAUCCCGCCGUCGGGGGCCUCCAUUAACCGCCGUCGGCGACCGAGGGGAAGUUGGAGAGAAAGGCGGCCUUCUCGAAGAACCCCGUCAGAGAGGAAAACAGUUCCGCUCGGAAAGCUGGGGCCCGGAGAGGGGAUGGAUUCAGGUUCGCUUGUUGUCAAAGAAGAGGACGAGGUAGAGGUGCUCCCGGGCUUCCUGGGUCAUCUGUUCCCCAAGCUUCAACACCUCCAGUGGGGGCACCGGAAUAGGCACCCCGUGAUGAAACAUGCCCUCCCGUGGCAUCUUCGGGUCAAUGAUCUGACAGAUUGGGGCACAGCUCAGCCCGGUUUCCCCCGAACCCCCGCCCAGGACUCAGGCAUCUGAUUGUACUCUGCAGCCAAGGAGAACUCCCUGAUCACAGGUCCAGGGCAUCCAGCGGGGAGUCCUCAUCCUCUGACAGCCAGCCAGCGCCCCGGCCCAGACUUUUUCUCACCACUGCGGGGAAGGAGAUGAAGGAGAGUCGGGAGUCAGGGGGCCCGGUCAAAACCGGAGCCUCCCCGGGCACCCCCGUACCCAGGCUCGAUACUUACUGCCGUGCCCCACUCCGCGCCCAGCGCCCACAGAGAGAGCACGUCGCCACGACAGGAGCCCGGCCUCGCUCCUCUGUCCGACUGGAGUUUCUGCAGUGGAGACCUGGGGCGGCAGCCCCCGCCCUCAUCCCACUCCCGCAGCGCCCAGCAAAAUGGCCUGUGACCUCAGCUUCCGCCCCACGCAAUUAACCUCCCCGAGCCUCGGGGGGGGUGCCGGGGGGCACCUCGCGUACCUGGUGCGGUCUGAGGCGGCGCUGCUGCUACUGCUGCUGCUGGACUCAGAGUCAGAGCUGCUGCGGGGCAAGCUGCAGUCGUUGCGGUACACCAGGAAACUCUUCUUCACAGGCUGGUUCCCCGUGCUGAAGCCGUUGGCCGGCCCAGUUUUUGUCCUCGGAAUCGCGCUGGAGAAGCAACAGAGAAACCACAGGAUGGGUAGGAGAGCGAGGACAUGCAACGAGCGUGGUAAGAGAGAGACGAGAGAGAGAGAAACACGGAAGAUCAGGUGGCCUCCCUCAGCCUGACAAGACUUUAAGGUUUCACGUCCUUCAAGUGCCUUGGAACUGCUGCCCACCCUGUUCCAGUCUUAAAUGAACAAGCCCCAGCUUCAACCACCCCAGGCGCCCGCACCACAGAGAUUCUGGGGUCCCGCUUCUGUCCCUGCCAAGGCAGCUGCCGUGCCCAACCUGGUCGCAGUUCCUCUGGGAUUGGAGUGCCCCUCUGGAAGAUCAGGACCCGGUUCACCAGUACCAACUAGCAAUCCGUCACAGCAGCUGCAGGCCAACGGCGGACUGACACUCAGACCCGUCUGCGGAGCUCUCGAGUCUCCAGUUAGGUAUGGAAUUUACCAAAUGCUGACCGUGUGGGAGGCACCGUGCUAAGCCUGGGACGGCUACACGAAAAUCCCACACUCGUUCACCAUCUGAGCGUUGGGGAAGGCAAGGUGUUCAGCCCCCGUUUUACGGAUGGGGGAAACUGAGGCCCCGAGCCCUUUUCUCGCAGUCCCACGGCACGCCAGCCCCACUGCUGGGGUUAGAAGCCGAUACUCUUUCCACUACGCCAUCCCUCCGAUAUGCCCCUCUUCCUCCGGGAGUUUGCCUCCUAUAGCUUGUGGGAAUCAGGUCCCUCGGUGUGUUUCGGCUGCGUUUACCGGGCAAUCCCCCGAUCGAUCGGCGCUGUUUAUUGAUCUACUGAGUGCAAAAUUCUGUAUCGAGCUCUGGGGAGAUUACGGCAGAGACGACAUAAACGCUCCCUAACGCCCAACGGAGCGGCCCGGGGGCGGAGCAUUCGGCGACGCGAGGAAGCGGAGAAUCCUCCCAUUCCUCUAGCUAGGCUGUGGGCGGGAUCAGAUCAAAUCUAUUUGCAUCCCUUUCAUCGAGGAAGUUGCACGGAAGGUCCUUUUAUUACGACGAAAGAAGCCGGAGCCCAAAUUA